rnacentral:lncRNA from 1 species
CUUGUUCUCUCUUCUCUCCUCUCUCUCUCUGCUCCCGACUCCCCACUCCCCACUCUCUCCUUCUUCCUUCUUUCUAAUCAUGGCUGAGGAAACCCAGAAGCCUGCUGCUGCCGAACCGCCGCCUUCUUCUCAGCCUGUCCCGGAAGAGCCUGCUGUUGUUCCGCCUCCUGCCCCUGAGAAGGAACUACCUGACCCUGCUCCUGCUCCUGCCAACCCUGAUUCGGUGGAGGAAGUUGCAGAGGCCGAGAAGCCCAAGGCGGCCGACGACUUUGAGAAGAUCUCUCAGUCGGUUUCUUUCAAGGAGGAGACCAACGUUGUUUCUGAGCUUCCGGAGUCGCAGAGGAAGGCGCUGGCCGAUCUUAAGCUUCUGAUUCAGGAAGCUCUCAAUAACCACGACUUCACUGCCCCUCUACCCCCUCCCCCGGCCAAGGAAGAAGAGAAGCCGACCGAGGAAAAGAAGGAAGACUCUGACAAACCUGCCGAAGACCCUAAAAUCGAACAGGAAUCCGAAGCUGUACCCCAGGAACAACCUCUCAAGGAAGCUGUGGUCGAAGAGCCUCCCAAAUCCCAACCAGAACCAGAACCAGAGACUGUGACCGUCACGGUCACGGUGGAAGAUACAAUCACUCCUAAUCCCGCGCCCGAGACUUCCUUGGCUCCAAAACCCGAAGAGAAGGCGGAAGAGACGUCGAAGGUGGUGGAAAAAGU